CGUACCCGGUCGCGAAUUCCGGAAAGUUGAGUGCGCUCAGUGCAUCCGUGCUUGCAUCGUGCGCCCAAGUUUCGUCGCGAUUUGCAUCCGCUCGAUUGGUCGUCGCGCGAAACAUCUUUUUUCCCGAGUUUUCGUCGCCGUAAUACGACGGGACGACGCACACAGACGGAUCACGUGAUCACCGCGUGCGGUAACGUGAUCCUUGGCGAAAGACCCGUGUCGACGGCGAAACCGUCCCACCACGACGCGAAUCCGGUUUUCGCGAGUGCCUCUAUCUCGAGCGUCGCGAUCACCGAGCGUGAGAGUUGUCGAUCAUUUCUUAUAAAAUCAACGCCGGGAGUUCGAUCCCGAUAUCGACCCCGCUCGCGGCCAUCUUGUCAUGCCGCGCGCCGCGCUGUACAUUGUGAAACGCGGCUACCGCGCCUCGUACCUCUGUGAUUUAAUGUAAAAUUCGUGCCCGCUAUCGCGUCCCCGAGUAACCCAAGUGAGCCUGAGUCUCUCGCACGUCUCCGUGUUCGCGGUCGCUCAUCUGCCUCGCGAGCAAGAUAUUUGUCGGUCGCGUGCAAGAUCUCCGAUCAUGGGGGUGGUCAUUCAUCGCUCUUCGUUUCGCGAGCCACGCAGAGAAACCGAGCGACUCAAGAUUUCUGCCCGACAAUUCUAAAUCUCGACUGAUGAACACCUGCAGCUUGCAACAAUGCUACACUGACUACACGACGAGUCGUUCGCACGACGAUGAAAUCACGUACGGAACGGACGUCCGUAGGAUUGACGACGCGACCGGUAACGAGACGACGCUGCUUGCCGGAGUUAAGCAAAAUCCUGACAAGCAGCAAGUGAAGCGUCCACGCGACGGUUGUUCCUGGCGAGUGAAGUUGGCCAUGUGUUUUACGAAAUUCCGUCAUGUAAGACUCGCUUGUCGCGUCUACCUGCGGAGCAUCAGGGGUCGACGGGAUCGUCGAGCGGAUCGUACAGACAUCUCCGACGUAAUCCUUCCAUCAUCGUGUAAUAAAGUACGCGCCGCGUCGCGAAAUUAAUACCGGGAGUGCCGUGCAAAGUGUCGCGCGAUUAUAAGCGACGAUAUCGUCGAUUUUCGCUCAUGAAUGUCGUGAGUGAGUGCGUCGACGGAGAUGCGACAUCGGUGAAGGACCACGGAGUGGAGGAGCUGGCCUGGGAGGCAUCGGGCAACGGCGG